CGGACGGGUGAGUAACACGUGGGUAACCUGCCCGGAAGUGGGGAAUACCUCGGGGAAACUCGAGCUAAUACCGCAUGACAUCUUUGGGACGAAAGUCCUGACGAUCAAAGCGGGGUCGCAAGAUCUCGCGCUACCGGAUGGGCCCGCGCCCGAUUAGCUAGUUGGUGAGGUAACGGCUCACCAAGGCUUCGAUCGGUAACCGGCCUGAGAGGGCGAUCGGUCACACCGGAACUGAGACACGGUCCGG
rnacentral:rRNA from 1 species